AUUGAACGCUGGCGGCAGGCCUAACACAUGCAAGUCGAGCGGAUGCAGGGAGCUUGCUCCUGGAUUCAGCGGCGGACGGGUGAGUAAUGCCUAGGAAUCUGCCUGGUAGUGGGGGAUAACGUCCGGAAACGGGCGCUAAUACCGCAUACGUCCUGAGGGAGAAAGUGGGGGAUCUUCGGACCUCACGCUAUCAGAUGAGCCUAGGUCGGAUUAGCUAGUUGGUGGGGUAAAGGCCUACCAAGGCGACGAUCCGUAACUGGUCUGAGAGGAUGAUCAGUCACACUGGAACUGAGACACGGUCCAGACUCCUACGGGAGGCAGCAGUGGGGAAUAUUGGACAAUGGGCGAAAGCCUGAUCCAGCCAUGCCGCGUGUGUGAAGAAGGUCUUCGGAUUGUAAAGCACUUUUAGUUGGGAGGAAGAGCAGUAAGUUAAUACCUUGCUGUUUUGACGUUACCAACAGAAUAAGCACCGGCUAACUUCGUG
rnacentral:rRNA from 1 species